rnacentral:rRNA from 1 species
UACUAUGUUACGACUUAUUCAUUAACAACAUAACGAGAGCGACGGGCGAUGUGUACAUAUCUUAGAACCAAAUCACGAAAACAAUCUACAAGACAUUACAAUCAAAUCCAAUUUCAUACUAAUAAUCCAACCAAUAAUCCAAACAACAAAGAACAAUGUAAUCCAUCAAUAACACUUAGAAACAAGCUGCACCUUGACCUGAAAUAAAUCAAAAUAAAGAAACCAGAAAAUUAAUAACCCUAAAAGCAUAAUCAAUAAACGGCGGUAUACAAACCAUAGCAACUAAGUAAGGUCCAACGCGGACUAUCGAUAACGAGACAGAUUCCUCUGAACGGAAUAAGAUACCGCCAAAUUCUUUAAGUUUCAAGAACAUACCUAAUACUACUCAAGCAAAAAAUUAACAUUCUAAAAUAAUAGGGUAUCUAAUCCUAGUUU